rnacentral:rRNA from 1 species
UACGUAGGGUGCAAGCGUUGUCCGGAAUUAUUGGGCGUAAAGAGCUCGUAGGCGGUUUGUUGCGUCGGCUGUGAAAUCCCGAGGCUCAACCUCGGGUCUGCAGUCGAUACGAGCAAACUAGAGUGUGGUAGGGGAGACUGGAAUUCCUGGUGUAGCGGUGAAAUGCGCAGAUAUCAGGAGGAACACCGAUGGCGAAGGCAGGUCUCUGGGCCACUACUGACGCUGAGGAGCGAAAGCGUGGGGAGCGAACAGG